rnacentral:tRNA from 1 species
AGAGGUAUCGCCAAGCGGCUCAAGGCACUGGUUUUUGACAUCAGCAUUUCGUAGGUUCGAAUCCUACUACCUCUUC